AGCUCUUUCUCGGUGACUGGGGCCUGCACUUAGGCACAGAUGGGGCAAGUGGAGCCAACAUGUCAGUGGCCAGGAGCUGGGUUUGUCGCAAAACUUAUGUGACCCCACAGAGACCCUUCGAGAAAUCUCGUCUCUACCAAGAGCUGAAGCUGAUUGGCGAAUAUGGGCUCCAGAGCAAACGUGAGGUCUGGAGGGUCAAAUUUACCAUGGUCAAGAUCCACAAGGCCGCCUGGGAGCUGCUGACCUUGACAAGAAGGACUCACAGCGUCUGCUCAAAGGCAACACCCUGCUGCAGCGGCUGGUUCACGCUGGGGUGCUGGAUGAGGCCAAGAUGAGGCUGGAUUACGUUUUGGGCCAGAAGAUGGAUGAUUUCUUAGAUGCCCACAGACCAAGGUCUUUAAGCUGGGCUUGGCGAAGUCCAUCCACCAUGCUCGCGUGCUGAUCUGCCAGCGCCAUAGCAGGGUCUGCAAGCAGGUGGUGAACAUCCAGUCCUUCAUUGUCCACCUGGAUUCCCAGAAGCACAUCGACUUCUCCUUCAGCUCUCCCUAUGGGGGUGGCCACCUGGGGCCAGGGUGGUGCUGGAGCCAGAGACGAUGA